rnacentral:lncRNA from 1 species
GUGUAGAUCACUGUGAUAUAUUUAUAUACCCAUUUUGAGCUAUAUAUGAGAAGUUAUUAGCUAAUUUUGCCUAUGUGCUUUAAAAUAACGUUCUUAUAGUUAAUUCGCAUAUAGGUGAGACUUAUCCCGAGGACAAGCGUAUCCAAGAAUGACUCGGGGGUUACGACCCUUCGACUUAUCAGUGAGUGGGUUUUUGGUUUUCAAUAUAUAUUUAUAUACUUGAUAUUUUCCCAGAAAUAUGUGUUUAAAUAAUAAUAUGCCAUAAAUUCCAUGCAUAUAAGUUUAUAAUUUAUACAUGAUUGGUAUGUAAUGCUUUAUAUAUAUAUAAAUGUGGUGUUGUGGACGCUCAGGUAAGCUCAGGUAAGUUGUGUUUGGGUAUGUGAAUCAUCGAUGAUGCGUUAUGUGAUUUAAUAAUGUUGAGCUCAUAAAACUGCACUUAGGGUGAUUGUGAUUUAAUCAUAGAUAUGG